AUUCAAAUAUACUUUCUUGCCCUUGUUUCAUAAACAAUCAUAAGCCUUUAUGUUGAUCCAUUUAUUUACCUUAACACCAACCUUUGCCAGACCUUCUAAGUGCAGAAGAUUUUGGAGGAAGCUAGGGCUGCACUGUACUGAUUUUCUAAAUGGGAAAGAAAGUUCUGAGAAGGAAGGCUACUUUAAGUCUGCUGGCAUAGAAGGGUGAGGUAUCUGAGGUCGAGUCUUCUUGCUGGGUAUUACUUAUUUUUAAAGAGCUGUUUCUUGAUGAUGUAUUUGCACUGAAGAUGUCAAGUGGGUAAGAUGACUUGAUGGGAAUUUGCAACUUCUGGGAGGGUGACAGUUUCCCACAGAUGAGCGUCUGAGCCAUUCUUGCCAUGGUUGUAGGAUCCUUUUCUCAAUUGGGUUUCCAAUGCUUUGAUCUUACUGGAGGUCAGCUUAGAAAGCAUGGUGCUAUCCUUUCGCCUGCCAACCGGGUAUUCAGCUGAAGCAUUGCACGCUGGUGCUUCUUGACUUGUGAAGGUAAGGAGAUGGAUGGAGGAGUUCAUGAUGACCCCCAGAGGUGGAGGCCCGUGGCCAUUUGAGGACUUCUAGAGUGGACACUCGUGCAGACUCCUUGGGUGCCAGCUGAAUGGACUGGUGCUCCAGGGUGAGCCUGGGUGACAGAUGAUAAAGACCUUGCAGAAGGAUGAAGAGGGCACAGACUAGAACUGCAACGUUGCAGCCAGUUCUGCCCUGAUUCCUGCAGGUGCCAAUCCUGAGGAAAUAAUUUGUUCCAACUAUACUAUUGCAAUCAUGAAGUUGACAGCAUCAGGGAAACGAGCUGGAGUCUAACUCAUUUUCUGUUGUGGCAUGAACUUGGCCACUCUGGUGAUAGUGGCCUUGAGUUUGUUGCCCUUAUUGUCCACUGUGUGAGUGUUUUGAACUUUAACUCUAUCUAUGGUAUGGUUGGCUACUAGACUUUGAUACUAGGAAACCUCCCUGGUGUGCCUGUUGGCUCAGACUCUGAUGUGCCUGAAUUCUGAGCUUAGUGCUCCUUUCCUGUGGCUUGGGAUGGUGGUAAUUUCAUGCACAGCUAAACUCAGAAUUUCUCAGAGCCAUCUGGUCGCCGGCCAAGGAUUUUGUGCAUUUGGGUGCAGAGGUCAAAAUGUCAGUCAGGGAAAAUAAAGAAAAUAUCUCCUUUAAUAACCUGUCUCUGGGAAUCAGCCAAGUCUAAGCCUAUCAGAGGGCCUUCAGCCCAUCCCCACGUGCGAGGCUGGGCUGCCCUCAACCAUCUCAGAUGGAGAGUCCUUUAAACGCUGUUGGGAGACAAGAUUCCACAUGCUCCCUCCAUCAACUGUCCCAAGCCAAGAAAGAGAAGAGCUUGUUUAAGUUUGGAAGACUCCCAUUGGCAUGUCAUUGAAGGGGCGUUCUCACAUGUCGUGGGGUGUAGACCCUGUCAACUUCCAUGCUGAGACUCAGGAAAGAGGUUUGGGCUUGUAGCUUGUGUGCCCCAGAGAGAGAAAACCCUAAUGUGGAGGUGAGUGUGUUGAUGGGUUAGAGGCCCAGAUGCCUCAGCCAGCGCCUUCCUUCCCUUUUCGUUUUUUAAUUUUUUUAACCUUUUGUCCCUCUGUAUUUCUCAGAAAUAAAAUGCUCUUUAGAUGGAUUUGGAUUGUGUCUUUUUUUACAGUCUACUGUGAGGCAGUCUUUUGUUCUGUGGAUCCUGGUGUUCUCCAUUUCCGUGUGAGAAGAUGAAAAGGAAUGAAAUUCCCCAAUGCAUACCCUCUUCCCCUAACGUCCUACACCAUCUCAAUGUCCUUUGGCUUUAAUUAUGAUCCUUCUAGGCCUUGGGGAAGACAGCACUGGGAGUCCUCUCUGAUUCCGGUUUCUUUUAUGAACUUGCAAAUAGUCUGUCCCAAGGAUGGAACUUCAGUCCUGUCCUCACCUUUUCCUGACAAAAAUGCCGAUAAGGUUAGAAACAAGGCUAUUCCCAUUCUGCCUGAGGACUGUCCUAGCCUCAUCCCAGCAUCUCUGUUGCUAAACUAUGUGGUUUGGCAUAGCAAGGCUUUGUUUAUAAGAAGACUUUCUGGUUAUUUAUAUAGAAACUUUUCAUUUUCAUGACUUCAUUUGGUUCUGAGACCAUAUUUGAAGAUUCUGUCCGGUGGCAGGCCCAAUCAGUGGAUUCAGCACAAGGGAGUUUUCCAUCUUCCUUGGGAAAGACAGCAAGCAAGCUCAGUUUAAGUUUGGGGGAGAAUUACUGUAGAAUCUCUAAAGCCAUCUCUAUGAUAAGUCCAUAGAUUUCCAAGAAUAAAACACAGUGAAACCUAUUAAAAAACUAUAAUCGAGCUUAGUGAAUGAGAAAAAAAAUGAAAUUCUAUCCACAUAUAGGAUGCAAAUGGAAAGAAAGUGAGAAAGUAGAAUGUACAUUCUUAAAAUCCAUGCCUUUCAUUCAAAACUGUUACCAGUUUUACACAUUCGUGGUUUGGCUGGCCAUCUGGAUAUUUUGGAAAGACAGCUUUAAACUUCUCGUGGAAGUUAUAUUAAAUCUUCACCCUGGAAAAAAAAGCACCCAGAAUUCUCCAGAUGAAUUGUAGUUAGUAUUUACACCCUUCAGAUAAAUAAACUAGGGGAUGGUCUAUAGGCUUUCCCACAAGUGAAUCUAAACCAACAGACAUGAGUGAAAUGGCUUGUCUCAGUGAAUUUUAGCCAGAGCUGCCCCUCUCCUACAGAAUGCUGAGGACUGUCCUGCAGCACAAGUUUGAGAUUCCAGGCUCUCUAAGAUUCCAGGCUCUCUGCACCCAGCCCUUUGAAAAGUGCGAGGAAUGCCGAUUAAUGUAUAAAACAGGCUCCCGUGGUCUGCUGGACCAGCUAUGUCUCAAGGCAGGUCAGCUCCAGUUGUGCAAGUGGACAAGCAGGCUAGGUGGUUAUUUUACUUCUGUGCAUUAGCAGAUGAGUAAUACAGCUCAGAGAAAUGUCAUCAUUGGUGGGUUUAUGAUCUUUUUAACCUUUCAAAGCUCUUUUUACCAUCCAGAGGUGAUGGAUAAGUCACUUCCAAAGACAGCUGCACAACUUUCAUUUUUGGCCAUUAGGCAAAGACAGAUCCCAGCAUAGGGCGUUUUCUUUGGGUCUGGUCUUAAUGAUCCUAGAGUGAUUGUGAGGGAAGACUCAUUUGUGUAGCCUCAAGUGAUUACUAUCUAGCUAAGACAGAUUGUCCUCAGAGCUCCUGGAAUUAAAAACAAAGAUAAUUACAUUAAACCUUAUUAAAAUUGUGCUUUAUAAUCCCAGCAGUAGACUCUCUAGAAACACCCAAGCAGACGAAGAUGUCUCUGGACCAAGUCUUUGGUCAGACAUCACGUUAGUGCCUUAACAAGCACAGACAAGCAUUGAGCCCUCCACACACCAUCUCCGCAAAGCUCCAAUUAGCCAUACAAGGUGGAUUGUGUACAAAAAGCUCCCUUUCUUUUUCAUUCUUUUUAAAAGGACUCCUGCCCAAUUUAUGUCACAUGUCACUUUAGCUCCUAAUUCUGAUGUCUCCUGCCACCUACGCCGACCCUGUCCUCCCACACAUUCUGAUCCUUGUGAAGCAAAGAUUUUUUAGAAAUUGUACAACCAAGUCAAGAGUGCCUGCAGACACCCUGUGGGUGCUAAUGUCACCGUUGCUGCUUCCGUCCUUGUCUAUUUCCUCCCUUUGACACAAGAACAGCAAUUCUUAUCUAACAGAUAAGGAAAAAAAAACAAAGACCCACCAGUGUCAGCAUGAGAGCGAGAUUCAUGGAUUGCAUAAUGCAGCAGUCUCUGUUGCUUUCAGAAUUUCAAAAGAAAGUUGGAAGAGACAGAGGCCCAGAGCUCUGGGUAUUUGCAUUUUUACCAGGGGCAUUCUGGGAAAGGAUGACUCACAUGUGUGAAGAUAUUUAUUCCUUUGAUUCAUGUUUAAACGCUGCUACUUCUUAUGCUACGGUUACGUGGAUUAUGAAUAUUUAAUGCUGCGUAUACUGAAAAUGAAGGUCAAGUCCUGCUCACUGGUGACUUCAAUGCAGGCUCUUGUCUCUGAAAGGGAAGCUACCUGCUGUUCGCGGAGUAAAGCUGAAAGGUUAUACGUUGUGAAAUUUUUCCUUAAUGACUUUAUCUCUCCAAAAUGGCCGGCACACAAUGGGGGCACUUGCUGAUUUUGCCAGUCUUUGCUCUUGGCUUCUGGUAUCAGCACUGCUGUUUUGGGGAUAUGGACGUUAGGAAGGAGGAGGGAACAGCAGCACAAAUUUUGUAGAGCAUCUCACCCAAGGGCCCAAUUGCCAAGGCAACAGUGGGGUUACAUUUGGAAAAUGGCCUCUCCCCAGUCUUUUAAAAUUUUACUUUUGCAUCUACUCACCCAUUUAUUCAUUUUGUCUUCAUUUAUUAGUUUGAAACACCUUCAAAUGUGACAAUGCUGUGUAUUUUCCAGGCAGUAAAAUUGCUUAUGGUUAAGGAAAAGUAUCUUUAAGAUUGUGAUAGAAAUUGACCAGAUUGUUUUCAUAGUCUCUGAAAAUAAAACUGGCACCGUUGAUGUAUUGGGGAUGCCCAGAGCUUUAGCAGAACUGGUUAGUCGCCCAGUAGUUUCUCUCACUCCAGUCUUCACAUAGCCUGGCCUCUCAUCUCUUGGCCUAGAAAUUCUCUUUCAAAAGGGAAGCGAGGGCAAGUCGUUGGAGGGAACUAACGUUCACUGAUUAUGUGCUGUCUGUGAGCUACAGAGCGAGGCACUUUACCAAAAAUAGCACAUACAACCUCAUUGAAUUCCCCUAACAACUUCUUAGGGUAGGUAUUACUAUUCCCACUUUACAGAUGAGGAGGCUGAAGCUGCAGACAUAGCCCAAGCCAUGUAGCUAGUAAGCAGUAGAACCAGGAUUAGAUUCCAGCAUGGCUCAUUCUAAAGCCAUCUCUCUUCUAAGUGUCAAGAAGUAAAUUUCCAGAUUGUGGAAGUAACUGACGGGGUUUAAUGAGAUGUUGCAAGAAAGGGAAGUUGCCUCACCUCAUCCUGCCAAUGCAUUGGUCUUGUUUUCUCUUUUGUUCUCCCUUUCUCCAUUUCUCACCCUGAGAACCAAGUGUGCAGUUGUGGGUACGUAGGAGGCUUCUAUCACAGGUCUUCCACGUAAGACACUGCCCUGGAUCAGGUGCUGUCUGAUGUCUGUUUGGGCCUUGAUUCAGUCCUUCCUAAUAAUGGCUUAAUGGGACCAACUUCUCUGUUAUCUCAGUGGAGUGGCAGCAUUUUGCAAUGGAAGAGGAUCAAAUGAACAAAGAACAAGGAGAGUUGAUUGUUCCUCAUGAGUUUCUACCACCUAGGGGUGUCUUUCCAAGUAGAAAGACUCUUUGGCCUUCCUAGCCUUACCUAGUCUGUCCCUGUGAUUUGGCAUAGUGAAAUAGAUAUGAGAAAUGCUGUUUCCCCAUGAGAUACAUUUUUGUCUCUUUUAAAGAGUUACAGAAUUAGUUGAUUGGUUAUAGUUUUGCAUUAUGUUGUGCAAUAUCUAUAUGCCUAGAGAGUUGGCAUUAUCAAACUAAUGGACUUCAGGAAAAUUUGGCCCCAAAGAAUAGAAGCCACAUAGGAUGGAGGUCUUUGAAAUGACAUAAAGUAUCUGGCUUCCUUCUCCAGCCUUGUUCAAACUGACUAGGCACAGGUGCAGACCCACUGCCUCUUCUGUGCUCAGCCUCAAGACAGGCGCCUGCAAGCGCUGUGAGGCCAGCACAGAUCCCAUCCCAUUCAUGACAGUGCAUUUUAAACUGUAAAGGACUAUGCAUUCCAGCUUUCACUAUCCCCUUUAGUGCACCCCAUCCUGUAGCGUGACCAGGUGGGCAGCCCAUGACAUAGAGAAAGAAGCUCACCAGCUUACUCUGUAACCAGUUCCUUUAUGGAGCACAGCCUUUCUAGGUAGUGUUCUGGAAAAUUAGAUCCAGCUCUCUGCCUUCAUGCCCUUUUUGAGAAGUCACGGCAUACAUUUAACCUUUGUUGAAGAAGUCAACACAAAUCACUGUGUGUGCAAAGCGUCUCCCUGUUUUUUUUCCCUUUUAAAAUACUCCCCCCAAUUUUCUCCAUCCCUCACUGACAUUUUUAUUGCUAGGCUUUGGUUUGGAAAAUUAUGGGUAGGGAAAGUUCAAGGGCAGGAUGUUCAGAACGGCACUGCACAUCUGUGAAGGGAACACAACAGGAGAGCCAGCAGCUGUUGAAAGAAUGGAAUGUCAGAUGGUGGAGGAGCCGAGCCCACUGAGGGAUGGUGGAAGACAAGACGCCUUCAGGGCAAAGAGGCUGUAAAUAACUCCAGUGGGAAGUCCUUGUCCCCCUUCAGAAUUUAGCCUUUAAUAGCAACACUUGGUGCUCUGAUACGAGAGUAACUCUAACUCAGUCUUCCUAGCUCAUCUAACCUUCCACAUUGCCAUUUGUUCAUGAACCGAGUGAAAGCCUGGUAGAGAAGACAGGUAGAGAGUAUGCCAAGGAACACAGUCAACUUCUAUAUAUGUCCUUGUCUCCAUAUGGGCAGAUUCGGGGGACAGGAUCUGUUCUUUGGUUGUCAAACAGAUUGGUUUUAUUUACGUCAAAGUUGAAAGCAUUAGCGCCCUUUCUCCUUCUCCCUUCCACAUUGGUGAGGAAAUCUUGUCUUCCUUGCUUAUUGCUCAUUGCACAAGUAGAACCUAGGCAUCGUAGGCAAUGGCAUCUAGAAGCAUUAAGGGAACUGCUUAUCUUUGACAUUUCACUGGGCAAAUCAGGGACUAUGCUAGGAAAGGGUGGGAGGACUGAGCUGAACCUUUCAGGUCUGCCACAAAAGACAACUGUAGAAUAUAGUAUUAGAGUGAAAGAGGCAUUGGAUCCCAAAUGGUGCCACCAUUCCCUGUGCCUCAGCAUCCCUUCCUGAGGAAUGAGGGUGAGGGACCUCCUCAAGGUCAUCUGACCAGCCAGGGACAGAGCUGGAGCUGGAAGACAGAGUUCUUCUCUGUCCUUUUCUACUUGAUCUCCUGGGUUAUUUCUACUAAAUACAAAAAUGAACAAAGACAUGAUAACCUACUCAUUGAAUAGCAAAGCAUAUAUUGUCUUUUUAUGCGAAUUCUGGACCUCCAGGCCCUUGUCAUGGGGGAAACUUCAGGGCCAUGGGAAAGAACAAAGAUAAUCCCAGGUGGAAAAGAUAAAAUCCAGUCAGGUGGCUGCAUGGGAUUAGUUUAUUUCAUCCUCAUUGGUAAGAGGCCUUGAAUUCCUUGAUUUUAUGACCCUCCUACUAAUCUCUCUCUCUCCCUCCCCACUGUCUCCCUCUUUUUCUGUACUAUUUCAGCAUGGAGGUGGGGAUGGGUAAGAAUUAAGAGUUCAGCUCCACUGUGGAAGGGUAACACAGGGCUAAACACAUUGAAGAGCUGAACACAUUGUUUUGGCCUGUUUGGAAUUUGUUAUGCAUAACUUUUGAGGACAUUUUGUCUAAUUGCUCAUUUGUUUCCCCUGUGGAAACACUAUCUGAUAUCUAUGUCUAUACAUCCCUAUCUACUUUGCCUUCCAAAAUUAGAAUGAAUUAUUUCUUCCCUUCUCGCCAUUCUCCAGAACUUAAAAAGAAUGCUUUGGACAAUCUGGUACUUUCUUAGCCCUCCCUUAUUCUUUUUAAAAGAAUAAUUGUUUCAGGGCAAAUGAAGAAAUGCAUUCCCUUUCAGACCCACUAGUUACUUCUGACCUCUACAACAAGCCUGAGUGUAUACCACAGGAGGGCUGCAUCUCCUCCCUGUCACAUGGCACUGGGCCUCUCCCUAUAGUCACAGGUUGACACGCAUUCAGAGACUGCUGA